rnacentral:rRNA from 1 species
CAGCCGCCGCGGUAAUACGUAGGGUGCGAGCGUUAAUCGGAAUUACUGGGCGUAAAGCGUGCGCAGGCGGUUGUGUAAGACAGGUGUGAAAUCCCCGGGCUUAACCUGGGAACUGCGCUUGUGACUGCACAGCUAGUGUACGGCAGAGGGGGGCGGAAUUCCACGUGUAGCAGUGAAAUGCGUAGAGAUGUGGAGGAACACCGAUGGCGAAGGCAGCCCCCUGGGCCAAUACUGACGCUCAUGCACGAAAGCGUGGGGAGCAAACAGGAUUAGAUACCCCGGUAGUCCCUGUCUCUUAUAC